rnacentral:tRNA from 1 species
GCGGGUGUGGCGAAACUGGUAAACGCACGAGACUUAAAAUCUUGCGCCGUCAAUGGCUUACGGGUUCGAGUCCCGUCACCCGCA